AGGGCCGGUCGAAAGACCCAGGUCGAUUUGACGGCGGGGAAGUUCCUC
rnacentral:ncRNA from 1 species